rnacentral:rRNA from 1 species
AGAACUUAGCAGAGAUGCUUUGGUGCCUUCGGGAACUCUGAGACAGGUGCUGCAUGGCUGUCGUCAGCUCGUGUUGUGAAAUGUUGGGUUAAGUCCCGCAACGAGCGCAACCCUUAUCCUUUGUUGCCAGCGGUCCGGCCGGGAACUCAAAGGAGACUGCCAGUGAUAAACUGGAGGAAGGUGGGGAUGACGUCAAGUCAUCAUGGCCCUUACGAGUAGGGCUACACACGUGCUACAAUGGCGCAUACAAAGAGAAGCGACCUCGCGAGAGCAAGCGGACCUCAUAAAGUGCGUCGUAGUCCGGAUUGGAGUCUGCAACUCGACUCCAUGAAGUCGGAAUCGCUAGUAAUCGUAGAUCAGAAUGCUACGGUGAAUACGUCCCCGGGCCUUGUACACACCGCCCGUCACACCAUGGGAGUGGGUUGCAAAAGAAGUAGGUAGCUUAACCUUCGGGAGGGCGCUUACCACUUUGUGAUUCAUGACUGGGGUGAAGUCGUAACAAGGUAAGCGUACGUGU